rnacentral:tmRNA from 1 species
CGCGAGCCGAGGAUGCUGCUCAGGCCUCGUUAAUCAGGCAGCAAAACGAAGUACCUGGCAACCGCCAGUCGACUCUCGCCCUCGCUGCGUAAGCAGCUAGUGUGAGCGUGGAAGCCACCUCGUCCUCGCGGGUGGUGGAAGCGUCAUUCAGCGAGGAUGCGCACCGGGCAAGCGUCGCGUAGCCCGGUGACAAGCCCGAUCUAGGGACACGUGACUGGACUGCCCGGCAGAGUGCCGAUGCCCGUCCGGGCGGUCGACGACAAAUCAUCGGAUACGCUCGUAGUUGGUCUCCGGCGAAGGGUUCUGGACGGGGAGUUCGACUCUCCCCCAUCUCCACCA